AACUUUCCAAUGUAUUCAUCAUCAUCACUUUUUGUCCUAUCGUGUCUCCUUUAGAUCACUUAUCUCUUUCCCUCCUCCUCCACUCGCUCCGCAACAUCUCGGAUCGCCCCCCACCUCCCCUUCUUGAGCCCUCCAAGAGGAAUAAGUGCUAUUUUUCAGGGACCUGCGGAAUCCGGUACCACACUGGACAUUGAAUCCUGGACGGGGUCAAGGUCGCAGCCCUCACGCGCAAGAUUGUUGCCAUUUUCCUGUGGUUUAGCGCAGGAAGGGAGGGAUGCUGGCCCAGACCCCGGAAGAGAGGUGUUCUGUAAACCAGGCCUCAGAACAUCCACCUUGAGAACUGAUGUCAGCAUCAAAUAUACUUUAUUUAUUUAUUUUGCCAUUUAUUUAAUUAAGAGGUUUGUCAGUUGGGUAUCAGUCACUACACUAAACAAAUCCCUGUUAUUUUAUGUGUUUGAAUAUGUCUGUAAUUGUAAGUAGGGCUUUAUUUAGUGAAAUAAAAUACAUACAGGCA